CAACUGAUCGUCCAGAUCCACACUGCACAAGUAUAACGAGAUCAGAAAAGAGAAAUACAGCAAAAUGAAAACAAUAAGAAAUUACAAUGAGCAAAUCAAGGUUGAGAAAGAGAGUUCCAAAAACACACUACAAUGUAAACACCUAGUGAAGGCAUUAAUUUAAAUAAGACAUACCAAUGCAGUAAGCAAAACCUUCUACAUCGCAUUGUAAAACCAGCGCAGUUAAUGUCAGUACUAUAUUUCACAUCAAGGAGAAUCUCGUAAUACAAAAGCUGACUAAAGCAUAUCAAGAGUAAUGGUUCUAUUGGGAAACAAUCUUCAUCAGGUUACCACUUACAUAAGCAGCAGAACAAGAAGAAGAAAGAGUUGGCCUCAGAAGCACUCAAUAUAUGUGUCAUGGGCCGAACAAUCUGACAAUGUAGGCAAAUCUUAAAUCAUCCUAGGCCUCCUCAAAACAAGAUUUGGCAAAUGACAAUUUAGAUAAACUAUCAUAGCAAUUACAGCAAAACUGAAAAAUUACUAUAUAACAUUUUCCAAGUCAAUAUCAAAAAUAGCAAAAUAAGGCCAAAUGCAUCCAGAGACCCUUGUACUUAUCUCAAAUGUGCAAUUGGGCCCUUCACAAUCUAUUUUGUUUAAUUAGAUAAACUUUUCUCGAAUGUACUUAUCACAAAUGCUGGCAUGUUUCUACUAAAACCCAACCUCGAUCAGGUUACCAUGUACAUCAUAAGAACACAAUCCAACAAUUUAGGCAAAUCUUAAAAUCAUCCUAGGCCUCCUCAAGAUAAAAAAAAUGGCAUGUAACAAUUUUAGAUAUGCUUUCAUGUCAAUAACAGAAAAACUGACAAAAAUCAAUAUACAAUUUUCCAAAUCAAUAUCAAAAGCAAAUAAAUAAAUAAGGCCACAUCCACCUACAAGCCCCGGUGCUUAUCUCAAAUGAGCAAUUGGGCCCUUAACAUUAUACUUUGUUCAAUUGCACACAAAACAUUCAUCAGGCUACCAUGAACAAAAGGAGGAGGAGAGGCCUCAGAACCACUCAAUAUAUCUGUCAUGUGCUA
rnacentral:misc_RNA from 1 species